AUUGAACGCUGGCGGCAGGCUUAACACAUGCAAGUCGAGCGGAGAUGAGGUGCUUGCACCUUAUCUUAGCGGCGGACGGGUGAGUAAUGCUUAGGAAUCUGCCUAUUAGUGGGGGACAACAUUCCGAAAGGAAUGCUAAUACCGCAUACGUCCUACGGGAGAAAGCAGGGGAUCUUCGGACCUUGCGCUAAUAGAUGAGUCUAAGUCGGAUUAGCUAGUUGGUGGGGUAAAGGCCUACCAAGGCGACGAUCUGUAGCGGGUCUGAGAGGAUGAUCCGCCAAACUGGGACUGAGACACGGCCCAGACUCCUACGGGAGGCAGCAGUGGGGAAUAUUGGACAAUGGGGGGAACCCUGAUCCAGCCAUGCCGCGUGUGUGAAGAAGGCCUUAUGGUUGUAAAGCACUUUAAGCGAGGAGGAGGCUACUGAGACUAAUACUCUUGGAUAGUGGACGUUACUCGCAGAAUAAGCACCGGCUAACUCUGUGCCAGCAGCCGCAGUAAUAC
rnacentral:rRNA from 1 species